UUUUUUUUUUUUUUUUUUUUUUUUUUUUUUGUCUUUUUGCUAUUUCUUUGGGCCGCUCCCGCGGCAUAUGGAGGUUCCCAGGCUAGGGGUCCAAUCGGAGCUGUAGCCACUGGCCUACGCCAGAGCCACAGCAACGCGGGAUCCGAGCCGAGUCUGCAACCUACACCACAGCUCACGGCAAUGCCGGAUCGUUAACCCUCUGAGCAGGGGCAGGGACCGAACCCGCAACCUCAUGGUUCCUAGUUGGAUUCGUUAACCACUGCGCCACGACGGGAACUCCUAAAUUUUUUUUUAUUACAGUUGAUUUACAAUGUUCUGUCAACUUCUUUUGUACAGCUAAGUGACCCAGCUAUACAUAUACAUACAUUCUUUUUUCACACUAUCCUCCAUCAUCCUGAGUCAUCUGAAGGCUUCUUAGUCUCUGGUCUUGGGGGUGACUCUGGCUGUCGGCUGGGACCUUAUCUGGAAGUGUGGGCUGAAUGUCAACAGGAACCUCUUCAUGUGGCUGCUGGGGCUCUUGGCAUGGUGGCUGAGUUCUAAGAGUCAACAUACUGAAGUGAACUAGAAAAUAGUUAUCUUGCAGUAAAAAGGGACUCAUGGGGAGGGGGACGACUUGGGUAGAGGAAGCACAGACAGAUUUCAGGGCAGUGAAAAUACUUUGUAUGAUACUAUAUUGUAGGUCACACAUUUGUCCAAACCCAUAGAAAGAACAUUGCCAAGUGUGAGCCCUAAUGUAAACUAUGGACUCUGGGUGAUAAUAAUGUGUCCGCUGUAGCAGAGGCACCAUUCUGGCGGGAGAUGUUGAUGACCGGGGAAGCUAGCAGAAGGCAUAUGGGAAAUCUUGGUCCCAUCCUCUGAAUUAUGCUGUGAACUUGAAACUGCUCUAAUAAAUAAAGUCUAUUAAAAAAAAGUUGUCUUGCCUUUUAUGAUGUAGCCUGGGAAAUCACAGACAUCCACUUCUAUCAGUCUCAACUCACCCAGGUUCAUGGGGGGCAGGAUGGAGAAUGUGAUGUGACCUUUUGACAGUAAGUGUGCCAAAGUCACAUUGGAAGAAGAGCCUGUGGCCUGAGAAAUGUUCUUGUGAUCAUUUCUGGAGAAAAACCUUCUGCCACACUAGUCCAGGCCCAAUUUUAAUGAUUUUUAAACUUGGAGUUUUCUUUUCCCCAAUUUUUGAACCAAGUCUAAAUGCAAUGUUUCAGUUCAAAGUUUUAAAUUAUCAAGGGAGAAUUUUUCUCUCACCCAGAGCCCAGGCAAAGAUGAAUAAGCUUAUACGUAAUUCUUUCUGUGCCAGUUGGUUGACUUGCCUAAAUGCACUCUUUUUUUUGGACAAUGUAGCCUUUUGAAGGUCAUGGUUUCUAUUAUAGCUUCACUUUUAUUUUUUAGGCAUCCUUCUCCCUCACUGGAUGAAGCCCUCCAAGAAUAGCAACUGUGUCUCUUUCAUUUUCCUAUUUCUAGCAAACAGCACAAAUACACAGUAGAGGCUCAGUGAGUGUUUUUGAACUGAACAGACCCCUUUCCUUUAUUUGACCUCAUGCUUCUGUUCUUUAUUCAUUCAUUUCUGUUGACUUCAUUAUUUUAUCUUGUUUUUUUUUAAAAAAGUUAUUUGUUUUUUAAAGUCUGUGAUUCUUGGAGACACAGGCCCAUAGAUAUCUGAUAAAUUAAUAAUGUUAUGAGUUUAGCAUUUAUAUGAUUCUGUAUAUUUGCAAUGCAGCACGCAUAAAUAUUUCAGUGCCAUGCACUUAAAAGGUAGCAGGGUAGAAAAGCAUUUCCUUGGUUCUGUGGCCCCCUGGGGUGAUUCUUCCCUUUCAUUUCUUUCCAAAUACAAAGAAAGUAUACAUUUCAUCCCUCCUCCAACUUAUCCUAUAUGGACAUUGAAAGUCCUUUGGAAAGGCUGUGGCCUCUAGAAAUGGGCUAUGUGGAGAGGUAUUCCUCUAGAGCUAUUCCUCUCAAUCCUGGCUGAGUGCUGUUAGUUGUAAUUUCAGCAAAGCUGCUGGGUGCAGUAUCUUUGUGAGGCAACUUGUGGAUCCAGACAGUGAAGAGUGGAGGAUAAAUAAAGUCAGGAGGAGAAGGCUACCUUGAAGAUGUAUUUAAAAGAACAGACUCAGCAUUAUUUAUGGUAGAAUCUUGUUUUUGAUAAUUCCCAGUAUAUUUCUUUUUGUGUAGUUCUUCAACUCAUAAAAUGUUUCCCAUUGGUUCUGAUGUGGAUGACUCUGAAUUUUUCAUGUUAAUAGGGAGAAUGAGAGAAUGUUUUUUCUUUUCCAUUUGGUUGACAUAAUGUAAAGGAUAUUACAGGAUAUUGAAUACAGUUCCCUGUGCUUUACAGUAGGAUCUUGUCAUUUAUCCAUUCUCUGUAUAAUAGUUUACAUCUGCUAAUCUCAAAUUCCCCAUCUAUCCCUCCCCGACCCCCACCCUUGGCAAUCACAAGUCUGUUCUCCAUGUCUGUGUGUCUGUUUCUGUUUUGUAGAUAGGUUCAUUUGUGUCAUAUUUUAUUUAUUUAUUUAUCUUUCUGCCAUUUCUUGGGCCACUCCUGCAGCAUAUGGAGGUUCCCAGGCUAGGGGUUGAAUCGGAGCUGUAGCCGCCGGCCUACCCCAGAGCCACAGCAACGCAGGAUCC
rnacentral:lncRNA from 1 species